ACUGAAUAGAUACCCCGGUAGUCCAUGCUGUAAACGAUGAGAACUAGAUGUUAGGGGGCAUGACCUCUUAAGUAUCGAAAGCUAACGCGAUAAGUUCUCCGCCUGGGGAGUACGGCCGCAAGGUUAAAACUCAAAGAAAUUGACGGGGGCCCGCACAAGCGGUGGAGCAUGUGGUUUAAUUCGAUGCAACGCGAAGAACCUUACCUACCUUUGAAUCCACGGAACCUAGCAGAGAUGUUGGGGUGCCUUCGGGAACCGUGAGACAGGUGCUGCAUGGCUGUCGUCAGCUCGUGUCGUGAGAUGUUGGGUUAAGUCCCGUAACGAGCGCAACCCUUGUCCUUAGUUGCCAUCAGGUUAUGCUGGGCACUUUAAGGAGACUGCCGGUGAUAAACCGGAGGAAGGUGGGGAUGACGUCAAGUCCUCAUGGCCCUUACA
rnacentral:rRNA from 1 species